rnacentral:rRNA from 1 species
GAUGAACGCUGGCGGCGGGCCUAACACAUGCAAGUCGAGCGAACAGAGGGGGCUUGUGCCUGGCUGACGCGACGGACGGGUGGGUAAUGAAUAGGAGUAUGACUGGCAGAGGGGGCUGACGUAAGGUCACGGGCGCUAAUACAGCAUCCGUCAAGAGGGUGAACGGGGGGGAUCUUUGGAGAAAGAGGGAUUUGCUGACACUACGACGGAUUAGCUAGUUGGUGGGGUAAGGGCCUACCAAGGCGACGAUCCGUAACAGGUCUGAGAGGAUGAUCGGCCACACUGGAACUGAGACACGGUCCAGACUCCUACGGGAGGCAGCAGUGGGGAAUCUUGCGCAAUGGGCGAAAGCCUGACCGAGCCACGCCGCGUGAGUGAAGAAGGUCUUCGGAUUGUAAAGCUCUGUUAUUUGGGAAGAACGGAAGUGUGAGUAACUCUUCACGUCUUGACGGUACCUACAGAGUAAGCACCGGCUAACUACGUG